GUAGGAGCCGGGUGACUGC
rnacentral:rRNA from 1 species